GUCUACAGCCACACCACCCUGAACACGCCCAAUCUCUUCUGAUCUCAGAAGCUAAGCAGGAUCAGGCCUGGUUAGUACUUGGAUGGAGACAUCUGUGUUUCUUCCAAGUUUGGGCU
rnacentral:rRNA from 1 species